UAGAGUUUGAUCCUGGCUCAGAUUGAACGCUGGCGGCAGGCCUAACACAUGCAAGUCGGACGGUAGCACAGGAGAGCUUGCUCUYGGGUGACGAGUGGCGGACGGGUGAGUAAUGUCUGGGAAACUGCCCGAUGGAGGGGGAUAACUACUGGAAACGGUAGCUAAUACCGCAUAACGUCGCAAGACCAAAGUGGGGGACCUUCGGGCCUCACACCAUCGGAUGUGCCCAGAUGGGAUUAGCUAGUAGGCGGGGUAAUGGCCCACCUAGGCGACGAUCCCUAGCUGGUCUGAGAGGAUGACCAGCCACACUGGAACUGAGACACGGUCCAGACUCCUACGGGAGGCAGCAGUGGGGAAUAUUGCACAAUGGGCGCAAGCCUGAUGCAGCCAUGCCGCGUGUAUGAAGAAGGCCUUCGGGUUGUAAAGUACUUUCAGCGGGGAGGAAGGCGAUGCGGUUAAUAACCGCGUCGAUUGACGUUACCCGCAGAAGAAGCACCGGCUAACUCCGUGCCAGCAGCCGCGGUAAUACGGAGGGUGCAAGCGUUAAUCGGAAUUACUGGGCGUAAAGCGCACGCAGGCGGUCUGUUAAGUCAGAUGUGAAAUCCCCGGGCUCAACCCGGGAACUGCAUUAAACUCAGGCUUGAGUCUCGUAGAGGGGGGUAGAAUCGGCGGAAAUGCGUAGAGUGGGGAAUACCGGUGGCAAGGCGGCCCCCGACGAAGACACCGAAAGG
rnacentral:rRNA from 1 species